AGUCACUGACAUUAGAUACCCCUGUAGUCCAGGGUGUAAACGCUGCAGACUUGGUGUUGGAGGCCCUUUGGGGGCAUUCAGUGCCGGAGAGAAGUUGUUAAGUCUGCUACUUGGGAGUACGUCCGCAAGGAUGAAACUUAAAGGAAUUGGCGGGGGAGCACCGCAACGGGAGGAGCGUGCGGUUUAAUUGGAUUCAACACCGUAAAACUCACCAGGGAAGACUGUUACAUGAAGGCCGAGAUGAAGACUCUGCUAGAUUUCAG
rnacentral:rRNA from 1 species